GUGGGGAAUUUUGGACAAUGGGCGCAAGCCUGAUCCAGCAAUGCCGCGUGCAGGAAGAAGGCCUUCGGGUUGUAAACUGCUUUUGUACGGAACGAAACGGUCCGGGUUAAUACCCUGGGCUAAUGACGGUACCGUAAGAAUAAGCACCGGCUAACUACGUGCCAGCAGCCGCGGUAAUACGUAGGGUGCAAGCGUUAAUCGGAAUUACUGGGCGUAAAGCGUGCGCAGGCGGUGCUGUAAGACAGGCGUGAAAUCCCCGGGCUCAACCUGGGAAUUGCGCUUGUGACUGCAGUGCUGGAGUACGGCAGAGGGGGAUGGAAUUCCGCGUGUAGCAGUGAAAUGCGUAGAUAUGCGGAGGAACACCGAUGGCGAAGGCAGUCCCCUGGGCCUGUACUGACGCUCAUGCACGAAAGCGUGGGGAGCAAACAGGAUUAGAAACCCCAGUAGUCC
rnacentral:rRNA from 1 species